UUUUAUUAUUGUAUUGUGCCAGGCUUCUUCAAAUAAUAAAGGUAGUAUUUUAGGUCAUGUAGCACAUUUAUUUAAAGCAUUGAUUUGUACUGCAUUAUCUGCCCAGCAGGUGUUGGAGGUGGCUUGACUGUCACCCCACUACAUCCCUCAGCUCCUGUUGCUACUGCCAUGUAUGCUGCUGCCACCACCACCACCACCACCACCACCACCACCACCACCACCACAAGAUCUUAGGCUGGAAUCACCACUGCUUCCUAAUACCAGUGAGAUCGUCUACCAAUUGCUGCCCUAUUCCCACCUUUGCGUUGGCUGGCUAUGAGCUGCCUUGUGUGUUAAGAGUUCUGACUCCGACUUUUUUUUUUUUUUUUU